AGCUCUGGGUGGCUGCGCAUAUUUUCAAGCGCAAGGAGAAGGCCAAGUUUGGGGGGAAGGUUUGGCACGUGGCUGUGCAAUACUAGAGUGAGCAAUGCGGAGGCGACGUCGUUUGGCUUGCGGAUUACUAUCCCAGCAUUUGCGUAGGGUAAUGAAAGAGCAAAAACAGGUGGCGUGGAUUUAGCGUGUUUUUGCCCACUGGAUUCUGAAAGUUCUACGGUUAGCUGGUUUUAGCUUUGUGCUGUUAAUGCCUUUGUUGGC
rnacentral:misc_RNA from 1 species